GCGCGCGCGCAGCCGCAGUGGUGAGCAGGAAGUGUGCGGCUGUGGGCUUCUGGCUCGGAUACUCUCGCGCUUCCUUUUCCCUAGUCUGUCCCACGGAGGGGAUUUGGAUACUUUCCAGUUGGGACUACUAUAAAUUGUGCUGCGAUGAACACUCUUCUGUAUGAUUUUUGGUGAACACAAGAACAGACAUCCCUCAGGAAUAUAUCUAGCAGUGGAACUGUUGGAUCAUAGGGUAUAUAUGCACUUAGAUACUAGAUAGUAGAUACUGCCAAACAGUUUAUUUGGUACCAGUUGUGUAUAAGAGUUCUUGUUGCUCCACAUCUUUAUCAAUAUUUGAUAUUUUUUGUGCUUUUCAUCUUGGCCAUCCUGGUGCUGCUUUUCUCCACCAGAAGGGUAACCGCUAAGUGGACCUGCGUCUCUGGUGCCCGGCGUGGGGCUUGCGGCUUCGUGAGCUCAGUGAAAGUUUGUGAGGUGAAGAACGGAUAGAUGGAUGGAUUUGCUGGCCCGUGGACUCACUGGUACCUUGUACCUGCACAGCUGAGGCUCGUUGCACCCUCAGGGGACGUGGGAGCACCUAUGCUUGGGCCAGGACUUCUGAGCUGCCCUGCUCCCUACCUUGAACCUCUGGAUUGGCGGUGGCUCCGUGCUGGACCCAGUGAGGGACGCCACCCGUAGACUUCUGCUGUUAGGGCUCUCGGCGUAGGUGAGAGCCAGAAGACGGUGAAAAUCUUGGAAGGUGAUCUUGUCCAGCUUACUGCUUCCAGGCAGGCCUGGACUGAGAACGGUCUGCCUUUUCCUUUGGAAGUCUCUGGAGGGGUGCCUGAGUGGCGCAGGCGAUUAAGCGUCUGA